rnacentral:rRNA from 1 species
UACGGAGGGUGCAAGCGUUGUCCGGAAUCACUGGGCGUAAAGGGCGCGUAGGCGGCUCAUGAAGGCUGUGGUGAAAGUCCGGGGCUCAACCUCGGAUCGGCCGUGGCGACUCGUGGGCUGGAGCACUGUAGAGGCGGGUGGAAUUCCGGGUGUAGCGGUGGAAUGCGUAGAGAUCCGGAAGAACACCAGUGGCGAAGGCGGCCCGCUGGGCUAGUACUGACGCUCAUGCACAAAAGCGUGGGGAGCAAACAGG